rnacentral:rRNA from 1 species
CCUACGGGUGGCAGCAGUGGGGGAUAUUGCACAAUGGGGGGAACCCUGAUGCAGCGACGCCGCGUGGGUGAAGAAGCGCCUCGGCGCGUAAAGCCCUGUCAGCAGGGAAGCAAAUGACGGUACCUGAAGCGGAAGCCCCGGCUAACUACGUGCCAGCAGCCGCGGUAAUACGGAGGGGGCAAGCGUUAUCCGGAUUUACUGGGGGGAAAGGGGGCGCAGACGGCGAUGCAAGCCAGGAGGGAAAGCCCGGGGCCCAACCCCGGGACUGCUCUUGGAACUGCGUGGCUGGAGUGCAGGAGGGGCAGGCGGAAUUCCUGGUGUAGCGGUGAAAUGCGUAGAUAUCAGGAGGAACACCGGUGGCGAAGGCGGCCUGCUGGACUGCAACUGACGUUGAGGCCCGAAAGCGUGGGGAGCAAACAGGAUUAGAUACCCCAGUAGUC